CAUGUGUAGUUUGAAUACAUAUACCACCACUCUUUGUGAGGAAGCGUUGCCUUUAUAACACAUAAAUGCUCUUAAAUGGGUGUCUACAGUAGUGGAGGAUGAAAGGAUGCACAUAUUCAAAUGUCUUAUUUAGCUGGAUCUUGUCAAAUGAUUAUGAUCGACUAGUUGGGAAAUGUAUCAUUUGAGUGGUACUAACAAAACAAUUUUUAUUGAGUUGCUGGGGUGACACAUGUUGCUGGCUUCGUUUCUGUAUAGCACCUUACAAACUAAAAUUCAGUUUCCAGUUUGUUUCUUUAUGCAUGUUCAUGAACUAAAUUAAGUUCACUGGUAUUUUAUGAUCUCCUUGGCAUAUCUUGCUCUUCUAGCAUGUAAUUAAUCUUAUGGUGGCUAGCUUCUUCCAUCUUGUACUCAAAUUCUCUUUUUUUUCCUCCCUUUGCCCUUCAAAAAUUAGUUUUAAAUUCUGUACAACUGCAACUGGGAGAUGGAAAUAGAAGGUUUUCUUGCACUCAUCAUGGUACCCGGACAUAGUAGUGUUAGCUAAUAUGGUUGUUUUUUCACAUCAUUUCAAUUUUAUUGCAUCAGUA